rnacentral:rRNA from 1 species
AUUGAACGCUAGCGGCAGGCCUAACACAUGCAAGUCGAACGAGUGGCGGACGGGUGAGUACUGUCUGGGCAACUGCCUGCUGGAGGGGGAUAACUACUGGAAACGGUAGCUAAUACCGCAUACCAUCGGAUGUGCCCAGAUGGGCUUAGCUAGUAGGGGGGGUAACGGCUCACCUAGGCGACGAGCCCUAGCUGGUCUGAGAGGAUGACCAGCCACACUGGAACUGAGACACGGUCCAGACUCCUACGGGAGGCAGCAGUGGGGAAUAUUGCACAAUGGGCGAAAGCCUGAUGCAGCCAUGCCGCGUGUAGGAAGAAGGCCUUCGGGUUGUAAAGUACUUUCAGCGGGGAGGCGUUACCCGCAGAAGAAGCACCGGCUAACUCCGUGCCAGCCGCCGCGGUAAUAC